GAUGAACGCUGGCGGCGUGCCUAAUACAUGCAAGUCGAGCGAACAGACGAGGAGCUUGCUCCUCUGACGUUAGCGGCGGACGGGUGAGUAACACGUGGAUAACCUACCUAUAAGACUGGGAUAACUUCGGGAAACCGGAGCUAAUACCGGAUAAUAUAUUGAACCGCAUGGUUCAAUAGUGAAAGACGGUUUUGCUGUCACUUAUAGAUGGAUCCGCGCCGCAUUAGCUAGUUGGUAAGGUAACGGCUUACCAAGGCAACGAUGCGUAGCCGACCUGAGAGGGUGAUCGGCCACACUGGAACUGAGACACGGUCCAGACUCCUACGGGAGGCAGCAGUAGGGAAUCUUCCGCAAUGGGCGAAAGCCUGACGGAGCAACGCCGCGUGAGGGAUGAAGGUCUUCGGAUCUUAAAACUCUGUUAUUAGGGAAGAACAAAUGUGUAAGUAACUAUGCACGUCUUGACGGUACCUAAUCAGAAAGCCACGGCUAACUACGUG
rnacentral:rRNA from 1 species